GUCCCUCCCAGGCGGGAGCAGAACAGGCGGCGCCGGGCGGCCGCGGAGCCAUGGACGGCAGCGGGCCCUUCAGCUGCCCCAUCUGCCUGGAGCCGCUGCGGGAGCCGGUGACGCUGCCCUGCGGCCACAACUUCUGCCUCGCCUGCCUGAGCGCGCUCUGGCCGCACCGCGGCGCGGGCGGACCCAGCGCCCCCGGGGGCGCAGCCCGCUGCCCGCUGUGCCAGGAGCCCUUCCCCGACGGCCUGCAGCUCCGCAAGAACCACACGCUGUCCGAGCUGCUGCAGCUCCGCCAGGGCUCGGGCCCCGGGCCCGGGCCCGGCCGGACCUCGGCUCCGGCCCCGGCCCCCGAGCCCGCGGCCCCCAGCGCGCCCCCCAGCGCCCCCGAGCCGUCGGCUCCCUGCGCGCCCGAGCCAUGGGCCGCGGGCGAAGAGCCGGUGCGCUGCGACGCGUGCCCCGAGGGCGCCGCCCUGCCCGCCGCGCUCUCCUGCCUCUCCUGCCUCGCCUCCUUCUGCCCCGCGCACCUGGGGCCGCACGAGCGCAGCCCCGCGUUACGCGGGCACCGCCUGGUGCCGCCGCUGCGCCGGCUGGAGGAGAGCCUGUGCCCGCGCCACCUGCGGCCGCUGGAGCGCUACUGCCGCGCCGAGCGCCUGUGCCUGUGCGAGGCCUGCGCCGCCCAGGAGCACCGCGGCCACGAGCUGGUGCCGCUGGAGCAGGAGCGCGCGCUCCAGGAGGCCGAGCAGCCCAAAGUGCUGAGUGCCGUGGAGGACCGCAUGGAUGAGCUGGGCGCCGGCAUUGCCCAGUCCCGGCGGACCGUGGCCCUCAUCAAGAGCGCAGCGGUGGCUGAGCGGGAGAGGGUGAGCCAGCUGUUUGCGGAGGCUGCAGCCACCCUGCAGGGGUUCCAGAAGGAGGUGCUGGGCUUCAUCGAGGAGGGGGAGGCCGCCAUGCUGAGCCGCUCCCAGGGCGACCUUCGGCGGCAGGAGGAGCAGCGCAGCAGGCUGAGCCGGGCCCGCCACAACCUCAGCCAGGUCCCCGAGGCCGACUCAGUGAGCUUCCUGCAGGAGCUGCUGGCGCUCAGGCUGGCCCUGGAGGAGGGGUGCGGCCCCGGGCCUGGCCCCCCGCGGGAGCUCGGCUUCACUAAGUCAUCCCAGGCCGUGAAGGCGGUGAGAGAGGUGCUGGCCGCGGCCUGCGCCAGCCAGUGGGGGCAGCUGCGGGGGCUGAGCGGUGACGAGGACGGGCCGCACAAGCUCGGCCCAGAAGCUGAUGCUGAGUCCCAGGACCCAGAUAAUAGCAGCCACCUGGACAGCGAGGUGCCCCGGGAUUACUUCCUCAAGUUCGCCUACAUCGUGGACCUGGACAGUGACACGGCGGACAAGUUCCUGCAGCUGUUCGGAACGAAAGGCGUGAAGAGGGUGCUGUGUCCCAUCAGCUACCCCGAGUCCCCCACCCGCUUCACGCACUGCGAGCAGGUGCUGGGCGAGGGCGCCCUGGACCGGGGCACCUACUACUGGGAGGUGGAGAUCAUCGAGGGCUGGGUCAGCGUGGGCGUCAUGGCUGAAGAUUUCUCCCCACAAGAGCCCUACGACCGGGGCCGGCUCGGCCGCAACGCCCACUCCUGCUGCCUGCAGUGGAACGGACGUGGCUUCUCCGUCUGGUUCCACGGGCAGGAGGCGCCCCUGCCGCACGCCUUCUCGCCCACGGUUGGGGUCUGCCUGGAGUAUGCCGACCGAGCCCUGGCCUUCUACGCCGUGCGGGACGGCAAGGUGAGCCUUCUGCGCCGGCUGAAGGCCACCCGGGCCCGCAGGAGCGGCCCCCCGGCCUCCCCCGGGGACCCCUUCCAGAGCGCCCUGGACAGCCACUUCCCGGGGCUCUUCAGGAGCCGGCUGAAGCCUGCCUUCUUCCUGGAGAGCGUGGACGCCCACCUGCAGAUCGGGCCCCUCAAGAAGUCCUGCAUAUCAGUGCUCAAGAGGAGGUAAUGCGGGCGCCGGCCCGGCCGCUGCCUCGGCUCCUGGCAUUUGCGACUCCGCAGCCACGUGUCCUCAGUCCCCGGCAGCCUCAUUUCUAAAAGAACACUUGGCCUCCUGCCUUUCAGGGAGGGGGCCUCCCAGACCCUCCCAAGUGCCUCUCAGGCCCCCCUCCCCCCACUGCAGGCCUUGUUUCCGGGAGAGAGAGCCACAGCCAGGACAGAUCCAGGCUACCCCAAGCCCUCCUUUUCCAGGUGCCUAGGACAGUGCCUGGCACACACCUCGCUCUGGACCUGCUUUGUGGUGUUUGUGCCCAGGACUAACUGCAGACAUCACACCCCCGAGAACAGGGCACGGCUCCUGGGCGUGGGCAAGAAGGCUUGAGACCCGAGUUGCUUUCACUCACACACCUUCUCAGCCCAUGAAGGAUGUGACUGAGCUGACGCGGGUGUGGCUGGAGCCCAGAACAUCUACAAUAAAGGGACCUGUGUCCUCUGGGCUCUGCCUCACCGCCCGCGCCCGGCUGUGCAGCCGGGACAGUGCUCGGCCUCCAGGCUGGGGAGACGCGUGCCCUGCACCCCAGCAGAGCCUCUGCUGCUCUGCCUGGAAGGCCCCGUGUUCCCUGCUGCCACCAAACCCCUAUCGUGGCCUGGGAUGCCCCAAUUCGGCUCCCCGAGGCUACUUGGUGAGUGUUUCCAGGCCAGCCCGCCCUCCCUCGGUUCUUUGUGGCCCAGGGGCACCCCAGAGAACGCCCCAGCAGGAAGGGCCAGGGCAGACGGAGGCCUCUCUGCACCCGGCCCAGGUCAGGCGGGACAAUGGGUGAGCUAUGCAGCCAGACAGCAAGGCCAUACAAGUCCUGCCCUGGCUGCCUUGGCGGCUAAAAAUAGUCCCUCCUGCGCAGCCCUGCCUCAGCCCGCAGCCAGGAUGUUGUUUUUCUGGGCGGGCCCUCCUUGCUCCUGGUGUUUUGGGUUCAAAACACCGUUCCCUAGGCAGCCAGGGCCCCCAGCUCACCCAGCCGCUGGGGCCCAUGAGGGAGGCGGCUCUGGGGCCUCACGAGAGGGGCCCGUGGGCUUCCUAGUGUCCGCUCACCUGCUGUGAGCCUCCCACCUUUCACAACCCCUCCCACCACCCCGGCUCUGUCUCAUCGCCCCCCUGGCACUGGGGCUUCCUGGCAGAAUUCCAGUCAGACUUGUCAGGUCUGCAGCCAGCGUCCCUGCCACUUGCAGUGAUUCCAGCUCCCAACACUCAUGUGCGCUGCAGCCGCACAGCCCCGCGCAGGGGGCGGGCACCCAGGCCGCACAGCUGGCACGGGGCUGGCAGGUGGGCACGGCCCAGGUUUGAGUGUGGUCCCCACUGUGGGGUGUCCACACGCCUGCCCUUCCUCUAACUCUGGCAUCAUGCUAGAGCUGGACGGAUGGCGUGUGGGAGUGUCUGUGUAUUCGUGUGUCUGUGUGUCUGUGCGUGUGGGAGUCUCUGUGUAUUCGUGUGUCUGUCUGUGCCUGUGGGAGUCUCUGUGUAUUCGUGUGUCUGUCUGUGUGCCUGUGCAUGUGGGAGUCUCCGUGUAUUCAUGUGUCUGUCUGUGUGCCUGUGCCUGUGGGUGUCCUGUAUGAGUGUGCAUGUCUGCCUGUCCGCCUGGGUGUACGUCUGUAUUUGUGUGUCUGAAUCCAGUUCUACUUUUCAAAAUGUUCUGAGAAGACCAGGAGUUAAGAGGUGCCCGAGGUGGGGCAGGUGGCAGGCUGGGAAGGGGCAGUGGGGCAGGGCUAGCCCCUCACCACCCCGCCAACACUUUAUUUAUUUAUAAUAAAUAUUUUUAAUUAAGUCAAACACCAAACCAUAAAUGUUAAUAUUUGAUUGUUAGAAAACACAGCAUUUGGCUUAUGGAAAUAACCGCUUUAAAUGAAAUCUUUUAGGCACUUGGCUGUAGCCAACACUUUAAUUAAAUAGAUUUUACUGAAAA